rnacentral:lncRNA from 1 species
CAGAAAGGCACGGGGAGGCUUUGGGGGAAAACCCACUCUCCUGCUUUUGGGGACAGAAUGGACUCACUGCUCCUGAUGCUUGAGAGACGGGAGAUGUUGCCGUUCAUCAUCAUCCCAGUAGAUGCCAUUUAUGGGACACCUAAAAGGACAGUAAGGCCCUUUUGGACAUUAUUUCUAGUCUUUACAGCGUAUUUUGCCAGAUGGUGUCAUUUAACAGGUGAGAGACUAAAGGUUGAGAGAGGUUAAGCAUUUUCCCCAAGGCCACACAGCUUUUAAGUGGCCAAUGUCUGAUGAGCUCAGGCUUAUCUGUCCCCAGAGCCCCAGAUCUUCCCACGUCCCACUGUUUCUCUUCCCAAGCUUCUUCACCCUAUAAAUUUGGUCAUUCAACACACACUGAUUAGGCCAGGCCUGGUACUGGACCAUGGAAAUGACAGGGAGACAGAGCAUGAGCAGGUGCCACCAGGGCUGGGCAUACGUCAGGGACCAGGCCUCUGUUCCCCGGGCUGAUAUAAUCCCCCCAAGAGGACAGACGUGCAGGACGCCGCGACGGCAGCGAGGGGUCCUGAGUGUCGCUGAAGAUAACCAAGACCGACGCUCUGCAACUCACCAUCUGAUGGAGGUGUCACACGUGACGGUCACGAUUGUGAUGACACGGUUCUGCGAGGGGCACCAGGACGGGACCGUUAACGUGUUCUCACCUGUGUCAGGUGUGUAUUUUAGUCUCAUUUAAGCCUGGCCAGCACCUGGUGUGGUUCAUGCUAUUGCUUUCCCCAGGAAGAAACUGAGGUGGGCCGAAGCUUCGGAGCAUGUCCAAGGUACACGGAUUGGAUCCCAACUCGGAUCUGAGCCUGUGAUCGGCUGGGCCUGGAGGAGCCUGUGCUCCUGCCCUGCUACGUGGCUUCUUGAAGGCAAAGGGGACCCAGCACGCCCCGGCGUGGACCCCGCGAUGGACACAGGCCUUGAAGAGGGUGACAGACACAUCAGACACGGCGCACGUGCCCCCCCCCGACAUCGGACACAGAAGUGCCACGCCCGUGCUCACACACACGCACACGCAGUACUCAGAGCUCUCCCC